rnacentral:rRNA from 1 species
ACCAACUGGAUUACCUAGUAACGGCGAGUGAAGCGGUAAAGCUCAAAUUUGAAGUCUGGUACUUUCAGUGCCCGAGUUGUAAUUUGUAGAAUUUCUCUUUGAUUAGGUCCUUGUCUAUGUUCCUUGGAACAGGACGUCAUAGAGGGUGAGAAUCCCGUUUGGCGAGGAUACCUUUUCUCUGUAAGACUUUUCGAAGAGUCGAGUUGUUUGGGAAUGCAGCUCAAAGUGGGUGGUAAAUUCCAUCUAAAGCUAAAUAUUGGCGAGAGACCGAUAGCGAACAAGUACAGUGAUGGAAAGAUGAAAAGAACUUUGAAAAGAGAGUGAAAAAGUACGUGAAAUUGUUGAAAGGGAAGGGCAUUUGAUCAGACAUGGUGUUUUUUAAAUGUGCAAGUCUCUCGUGGACAUGUGCCUCUGGAAAUUAACACUGGGCCAACAUCAGUUCUGGCGGCAGGAUAAAUCAUUAAGAAUGUAGCUACCUCGGUAGUGUUAUAGCUUUUUGGAAUACUGCC